rnacentral:misc_RNA from 1 species
GAUGAAGAACGCAGCGAAAUGCGAUACGUAAUGUGAAUUGCAGAAUUCAGUGAAUCAUCGAAUCUUUGAACGCACAUUGCGCCUGCCAGCCCUCUGGCAGGCAUGCCUGUUCGAGCGUCAUUUCAACCAUCAAGCCCUAGGCUUGCGUUGGAGCCCUGCGGCUGCCGCAGGCCCCUAAAAGCAGUGGCGGGCUCGCUAUCACACCGAGUGCAGUAGAUUACUCUUCGCUCAGGGCGUGUGGCGGGUUCCAGCCGUGAAACCCCCUACUUCUCAAGGUUGACCUCGGAUCAGGUAGGAAUACCCGCUGAACUUAAGCAUAUCAAUAAGCGGAGGA